AAAAAACAUUACCUGUGCCCAACGUUUUAUGGCCUUUGUCACUCCUCAAGUAGUCUCUCCAAAGGAGGAAUGUCUGACGUGGUCUCACAUCGAGGUCACGCUGAUGAAAAAGGAACUACAGUACUGUUAUGUCAGUAACAUACAUCACAGUCGUACGUCUCCAGGCUUCUUAUCUUCCUUUGAACCUGACCUGGCUACUGUUUGGUGGAUUAUAGAGGAAAAGCUGUAAUGGGAAAGUAGGUUGGGUGAAGGGAUGAGAAAAAGGAAAGCAUCGUGGAGCACAUUAGCAGGCUUUCUCCAUGAAGAAGCAGGAUGAGUACCUUCUCACUGCCAAAGUAGUUGGAGGGACAUCAAACACCAGUGAUGGGAACACUGAACCUCACAUAAGGGGCAAUGCAGCAUCUCUGCCUUCUUCUGGGUAUUCCUCUUAAAUGGCUUGACAAUAACCACCAACCAGCACUGCCAUACAUGUGUCCUGUACCUAUCAGAGGCACUAGGGCAGUUUUGGAACAGAGAGCCCAUAGAAAGGCUACUGCUUAGAGAUAGCCAUUUUCUUCUUGGAGCUGGACCAGUGAAUUAGACGCAUGGAGGAGAGCUGGAAAAUCCCUUUUUGGAAGAGCUACACAAAACCAAAAUUUGGAAUUCGUAGCUAAUAACCAUAAAAAUUAAGAAAUGACUGUUGGAAGAGCACUGGAAAUCACCUGAUUAAGUUAAGAAAAACUAACUAGCUCAUGAGAAAAUUAUUUUCAGGCCAGCUGUAGCCUGUACCCUUUUGAAAAUCCCCUGACUAGUGAGUUCAUUUUUGUUGGAAUAUAGAAUUUUUCUUUUCUAAGCAGAUGUAAACUUGUCUUUCUGUGGUUGGCUUUGGAGCCCACAAGAUAAUUAAAUGGCAGUGCUAACUGAAAGCCUGGGCUGUGCUUAUAGGCAGGCCGUUCCUGAGAUCUUCCCAAAACCAAAGGUAUUGAAGAGACACAUGUAAC
rnacentral:lncRNA from 10 species